GACGAACGCUGGCGGCGUGCCUAAUACAUGCAAGUCGAACGAGUGGCGGACGGGUGAGUAAUGCUUGGGAAUCUAGCUUAUGGAGGGGGAUAACUACGGGAAACUGUAGCUAAUACCGCGUACCAUAGGAUGAGCCCAAGUGGGAUUAGGUAGGUGGUAGGGUAAAGGCUCCACAAGCCGACGAGCUCUAGCUGGGCUGAGAGGAUAAACAGCCACACUGUGACUGGGACAAGUACCAGACUCCUCCGGGAGGCAGCAGUGGGUAAUAUUGCGGAAUGGUGGCAACCGGACGCAGCCAUGCCGCGUGAAUGAAGAAGGCCUGCGGGUUGUAAAGUUCUUUCGGUAGCGAGGCGUGAACUACAGAAGAAGCACCGGCUAACUCCGAGCCAGCAGCGGCGGUAAUUC
rnacentral:rRNA from 1 species